rnacentral:rRNA from 1 species
CCAAUCGAACUCGGAGAUAGCUGGUUCUCCCCGAAAUAGCUUUAGGGCUAGCCUCAUAUUAGAUACCCGGAGGUAAAGCACUGAAUGGCCUAGCGCCCGAGAGGGUAGCGAAGCCUAUCAAACUAAGAAUGCCGGAGUAUUGAUGUAUGGGAGUCAGACAGUGUGAGAUAAAUCUCAUUGUCAAAAGGGAAACAGCCCAGAUCUACAGCUAAGGUCCCAAAUUGUAUCUAAGUGGAAAACGAUGUGGAAAUACGCAGACAACCAGGAUGUUGGCUCAGAAGCAGCCACUCAUUUAAAGAGUGCGUAAUAGCUCACUGGUCGAGCGUCUCUGCGCGGAAAAUUUAACGGGGCUAAGAUACAAACCGAAGCUUAGGCUGCACGUAAGUGCGGGGUAGGGGAGCGUUGUGUAAGCGGAGAAACAGUAGCGUAAGCGGCUGUGGAGUUUACAGAAGUGAGAAUGCCGGAAUGAGUAGCGCGAAUGUGGUGAGAAUCCACAUGGCCGGAAACCUCAGGUUUUUGGAGGAAGGUUCGUCCGCUCCAAGUUAGGCGGGAGCUAAGGUGAGGCCGCAAGGCGUAGCCGAUGCACAGACGGUAGAGAUUCCGUCCCCACCGAAAGAUUUAAGCACAGGGACACUUUUAGAAGGUCAGAGCCGGGUGUUGGUUCCGGUAGUGAUCGAGGGAAAUUUAGUACCGAAGUCUGGCUGGAAGAGAGGCGAGAAAAGCUGUGUGUAUAUCUUAGGUGCCCGUACCGCAAACCGACACAGGUAGGUAGGAAGAAGAUUCUAAGGCCAACGGGAGAAGGGUUGUUAAGGAACUCGGCAAAUUGACCCCGUAACUUCGGGAGAAGGGGUGCUCCAGAGAUGGAGCCGCAGAGAAUCGGCCCAAGCAACUGUUUACCAAAAACACAGGUUUGUGCUAAAUCGAAAGAUGACGUAUACGAGCUGACGCCUGCCCGGUGCUGGAAGGUUAAAAGGAGAUGUGCAAGCAUUGAAUUGAAGCCCCAGUGAACGGCGGCCGUAACUAUAACGGUCCUAAGGUAGCGAAAUUCCUUGUCAGGUAAGUUCUGACCCGCAUGAAAGGCGUAAUGAUUUGGGCACUGUCUCAACAGCCCGCCCGGCGAAAUUGUAGUACCGGUGAAGAUGCCGGUUACCCGCGACAAGACGGAAAGACCCCAUGGAGCUUUACUGUAGCCUGAUAUUGGGUUUCGGUGUUGCAUGCACAGGAUAGAUGGGACACAGGGAAGCGAGCGCUUUGGCGUUCGUGGAGUGGACGUUGGGAUACCAUCCUUGCGACAUUGGAAUUCUAACCUGCGCCUUUGAAUCAAGGCGGGGGACAUUGUCAGGUGGGCAGUUUGACUGGGGCGGUCGCCUCCUAAAAAGUAGCGGAGGCGUUCAAAGGUUCGUUCGAUCUGGACGGAAACCAGAUGAAUGAGUGCAAACGCAUAAACGAGCCUGACUGCGAGACUGACGGGUCGAGCAGAGACGAAAGUCGGAGUUAGUGAUCCGGUGGUAUGUGAGUGGAAAUGCCAUCGCUCAACGGAUAAAA